CAAGACUAACAAUAACUUCAUUAUUUAUUUGGAUCAAAAAAUCCGGUUUCAGGGCUUCCCUGGUGGCGCAGUGGUUGAGAGUCCGCCUGCCGAUGCAGGGGACACGGGUUCGUGCCCCGGUCCGGGAAGAUCCCACAUGCCGCGGAGCGGCUGGGCCCGUGAGCCAUGGCCACUGAGCCUGCGCGUCCGGAGCCCGUGCUCCGCAAUGGGAGAGGCCACAACAGUGAGAGGCCCGCAUAACGCAAACAAACAAACAAACAAAACCGGUUUCAACUAUACACGGAUCAUUCAUCAGUGUGGCGGCCGUGGUCUAGUCCUGCACUCUCUCCAAGGUUCAGCUUCCUGAGCAGCAAACAGGAGAUAAGAGCUCUCUCUUCAAAGGACUGGUACAAGCUGCCCACGGAGGGCCUAACUCAGCACCUUCUGAAUGAAUGGAUGAAGAAGUCCAGAUUCUUCCCUGUGAGUUAUUUGCCUUCGUUGGAAAUUUGAUGGAUGGCAUCGUAUGAAAAAAACUAUUAAAAUCCUCCAAUGAAAAAUGGACCAGUGGCCCCCCAGAGAAGGCUUCCGUGCCCCUGCCAACUCCAGAGCAGGAUGGAACCGGGAGGGCUGAUGAGAGCAGAGAGUUGCCCUUGUCUUCUCUGAUGGUACUUUCUGGAGGGAGCAGCAAAAUCCUAGGAAAUAAACAACCUGGGUUCUAGUCUUAGAUCUGCCAUUAAGCAGCUGUGUGGUCUUGGGCAAGAUAUCCAGUCUCUCUAGGUCUUGAUUUUUCAUCUGCAAAUUAAAAGCUUAGAAAUUCCUUAGCACUUCCUUCUAGCUCUGAAAUGCCUUGAGUUCAUUAUGAGAGUGAUCACAUGGUGUCCGUGUGUGUGCUCAGGGCAGAUGUGGGUCCAAACAUUGCAACGAGCAUCGAGUUAAGUGUGCAGAAAAGGGUUAAAGAUUUAAGCAUGUUGGAGUUGCAGCUGAAUGAAGGAGGACCCCAGCUCUUCCAUAUUCCAUACAGCCAUUUUAUAGAUAGGAGAGGUAGAGAGAAAGGAGUAUGUUUUUUCCAGGGGAAAUCAAGAGAAACCAGAGUAUCUUUCUGACUCAAGAGUUCAUGAAGAUUGGAGAGAGGUGAUGGGCAGGGUGAGGACUGCCCUGAAAGGAGACCAAAUACAUAACUUAAGUGGUAUGCAUGACUAGAAAGAUCGGGCAAUAAGGUCACACCUCUGUCCCUGCGACCAGCACUGUCUGCAAUUUUCAAACUUCUUUUAGCUCUGGAACCCUGUUGGGGCAGCCACCGCUUAAAAAAGCAGUAAUCCUUUCCUCCACUCCUGCUUCCUGGCCCUCUACACCAAAUCUCAAGCAAGCAUGAGCCCCAGAUAGACAGGCUUCCUCUUCGGACCCAAAGUCCAAAGUUGAAGACUCCCAUUCAGGUGUUAAAUACAAAUGGCUGAACCAACACUCAGCUGGUUAUUUUGAAGGUCUUGCCAGGGCCACAGCUACCUACACACAGAUUAGACAGCCAGCUUUGGAAAGGGAGCAGCCCUGAUUUAGGUGCCAGGUAAAUCAAUGCUCCAUUCCCACAUUUCUACUUGUUGUGUCAACAGACGUAGCAGAGGAUGGGAAAUGAGAUCCAAUUGCAGUGAAGAGGAAGGAUGAAGAUGCAGCUCAUCGUGCACUCCUAACUCAUUCUUGAAAGACAAGCCUGAGCGAGCAGAUUUCCGACCAGAGAAACCCAGCUGGACCACCUAGGCAGCAGUCAGGAGAUGGCAGGGCUGUUUUGUGUAUGUUUUUUGUUGCUUGCUCAGUUUUUAAUGGAAAAAAUGUUGUAUUUUUCUGUGCUUUCUGUGCUUUCAAAGUUUGUUAGCAUUAAAAAUCUAUUCCUUUUGUUAGAAAAAUAAACUAUGAAUAUUUUAAUAAUAGCUCAAACAUUGAAUUUGAUAACUACCACUCCUAAGAAUAUACACAUUUCUUUUAAAACAUGAUAUAUAAAGUAAUAUGUAUAUGUGUGUGCAUAUAUAUUUUAAGGGAACCAGGAGUUAGCAUAGUACUUCAGAGAAAUAUUGUGAAUAUUGAUUUUUUUCCCCUAGUGAGAUAUUAUUACCUGGGAAUCACAGCCAAGGUAGGACUCUUUAGACAGCUUUAUCAUUAACCUUUCUCUGUGUGUAAAUUCACAGACAUCAGACUGUAAAAUGUGCUUGCCACAUCACCAAAGGAAACCAAAAUCUGGUACUAGCCCUUAUUUUGAAAAUGAAUGGUUCCAUCUUCUUUUUAAAGUACUCCAAAAGUUUUUGGGACAGCCCGUUCUGCAGUUCAGUCAUACUCACCGAUCACAAAGUCUUUCUUGUGUCUAAAAACAGACUCUCUCCUGAUGCUGUCAACUCAAACUCCUGUUCUUCUACUCCAUCCAGUGAGAGGGAGAAGGCUGGUUAGUGUUCUCCACAGCUCCACCUCACUGCCCAGAGGUUGUUAAUUUUGUCUGCCUUCAGCCUUCUCUUCUCCAGGAUAAAUAACCCGCCUCCUUUCUUGUGUACAUAGCCUCCAAUCCCUGUCAUCGUUGUCUUCUUUCUGUACGUGAAUUCUAUGCCAUUUUCAUACAUACGUUUUAAGUUACAGACCUAAAGUGUAAUGUUCAAACGAGAGCCUGACCUACAAUGAAUUUACACAAGGAUUACUUCCUGGCUACAAAUGAUGCUUGUCUUAAUACAACUCAGGAUAGUAUUUCUUUCUUAAUGCCAUCACUAGGUUAAUGACUCAUGUAUUUCUGGAAUGCUGGAUCUCCUCCAGCCAAGUUCAUGUCAAAAUACGCUCUCUAUCUAGCCCUUUCUCCCACCACCAACUACUCCCCAAAGGCAGUCACUGUUAAUAAAUUUAGAUUUUAGUUCUUCCAGCAGUUUCUACUUGAGCUCUAAAUAAAUAAUAUGUCUACAUCUACCUGUUUUGAUUUUUCAACCUUAGACACUCAGUAGCUAUUGAGUUCUCUACAUGAAUGAUGAAAAAUUUCACUCAUUCCUUCUCUAUCUUCUCCCCAGUUUAGGUUAAUUCAUGAUUUUUUAGUUCUUCAGUUGGGUAGAUGUAUAACUUAUCCGUAUGUAUAACUUACAAUUAUCCCUCCACUUCCAGAUCUAGCAGCUUUAGAAAAUAUUUAUUGACCUUAGCACUCUCCGAUAAGAAAGUUAACACAGCCCUCUACCUCCCGACUUCUGUCAGAGUAUAGCUUUUAGACUGUCAAAGUUUAUAAUAUUUAUACUGUUUUAUAAAUAUUAUUAUGAAUUCUGAUAUUAUUAUCAUAGAAAUAGCAUUUGUUGCAGACACCAGAAAACAAAUUAACCCUGUGUCACCAAAAUCAUGCUAUUCAAAAUAGAGUGUCCUAAGCAUCACAGUUAAAUGGAUUCUCUAACCUUAAACUCCAUCAAACCCUCAAAAUCAUGCCACAACUUAGUUUACUUCUUAUUAGCAUACUGGAUUUUGAGGCAGUUCUAUAAAUACUAUUACUGGUUACAAGCAGUGGAAGCUGAUUAACUUAACAAAUUUGUUGGAAGGAUAUAGGGUCACUCUCCAAACCAAAGAAAAAGCUAGAGAUGAAUCAACUACAGAUUUUCAAGGUAUUAGACUAUGAAACUAGAGACAGAUCCUGCUCAUUCCUGGGAAAGAGCCCCUGAUCGGCCUACCUCGGAUCACAAGCUAGGAGUAGGACACUUGAUUGACAGUCCCAUCAAGGUUGCAUGCAAUGGUGAAGGGUAGUUCUCAAAAAAUAAAAUCAAGUUGCUGUCACCAGAACAAGCUGGGUAGACUUAACAACAGCAUUUAUCACAUAUGAUAUACCGGUUGUCACAUUUUAAUUAAUAAAUAAUUUGGGUAGUUAUCUGUUUGACAUUGUCCUUUCCCAUCAGAUUUCACAAGGAGAGGUUACAUAUAUUAUUUGUUCUCUUAAUCUACAUGCCUAGCACAGUAUAUGGCACAUAGAAAUACUUACUAAAUAUUUGUUGAAUAUUGUUAAAAAAAAAAGUGCCAAGGGUUUCUGGGAUAAACUGCAUAGACUACCUGUAUUCAUUUACUUUGCUAACAAAAUAUUUUCAGAUGGCUGAACUGCAUAUUAAAGAAGGGAUUAUUCUUUCUAUUGGUAUAACAUCAUGGAGGGAUACAACUUAAGUUUUCCAUUGCAAGUAUUGUAUUUUAAAAGAAGAAUAUCUCUCAAAACUUCUGGAUAGUGGCAGGAUCCCAUGAUCUUACACAUUGCCCAAACAACUAAUGGUUUACAAUGACCUGAUCCAAAGAACUGGUCGGCAAUUUGAAUGUUCAGUAUUCAUUCAGGAUUUCAUAGCCUGUGGAUCUCUGCAGCCAGGAUUCAACACAGCAAUAUUUAAGGCCUGAUCUAAUAUCUUCCUUGUAAAGCUCCCCAUUCUCCCAAGGAGUGAAUCCUUUUCCCCACUCCUCUCCAUGCCACUUUGCCCACUUGGUCACAAAUUGAGGGAGAGUUAUUUGUUUAUGUACCUGCCUCUCCAUCUAAACUAUGAGUCCUAUAAAAGAAGAAAGUCUGUCUGAUUCACCUUUGUAUCCCCAGUGCCUGGCAAAUAGGAAGCAUUUAUUAAAUGUUUAUUGAAUCUAACCAAUCAGUCUAAGUAAAGUCUUUGACAAAGAAAUAUAAUGAGUUCAAAGAAAUACCAGACUCUAA